UACGGGGGGGGCAAGCGUUGUUCGGAAUUACUGGGCGUAAAGGGCUCGUAGGUGGCCAACUAAGUCAGACGUGAAAUCCCUCGGCUUAACCGGGGAACUGCGUCUGAUACUGGAUGGCUUGAGUUCGGGAGAGGGAUGCGGAAUUCCAGGUGUAGCGGUGAAAUGCGUAGAUAUCUGGAGGAACACCGGUGGCGAAGGCGGCAUCCUGGACCAAUAUUGACGCUGAGGAGCGAAAGCCAGGGGAGCAAACGGG
rnacentral:rRNA from 1 species